rnacentral:lncRNA from 1 species
AUACAUAUAUAUAGCCACCCCAGUUCUCUUAUAGUUACUGUUUUCUUGGUAUGUUUUUUCUAUUCUUUUACUUUCAACCUAUUUUCUGAAUCUAAUAAAGUGUCUUUUUUUUGUAAAUAGUAUAUAGUUGGAUUCUGGUUUUUCGUACAAUCUGACAAUCUCUAUCUUUUGAUUUGAGUGCUUAUAUUUGAUGUAAUUAUUGAUAUGGUUUAAUUUACAUCUGACAUUUUGCUAUUUGUACAAUGUGACAAUCUGUCUUUGGAUCUGAGUGUUUAUAUUUGGUGUAAUUAUUGAUAUGGUUUAAUUUACAUCUGACAUUUUGCUAUUUGUUUUCUAUAUUUCUGAUGUCUUUUGCUUCUCUCUUCCUGUUAGUGCAUUCUUUUGUGUUAAAUAGAUAUUUCACAGUGUACCAUUUUAAUGCCUUAUUUUCACUAUAUUUUAAAUUUUAUUUUCUUAAAAGUUAUUCUGAACAUUACAAUAUGCACUUUAAUUUAAAAUAAUCUGUAUGGGAUUAAAACUAACUUUAUUCCAAUAAGAUAUAGAAAUUUUGCUCCAAUAUAUCUUCCUUCUUUUCUCAUUUCUUUGUGCUAAUACUGUCUUAUAAAAUGCAUCUUGAUAUAUUACAAGCCUAACAAUACAGUUUUAUAAUUAUUGCUUUAUUCAGUUAUGUUUUACAUCAAUUAAGAGAAUAAACAAGUAAAAAAACAUAUUUAUGCUAACAUUUACAUUUACCUUCACAAGUGCUCUUUAUUUCUUCAUGGAGAUUCAAGUUAUCGUAUGAUGUGAUUUUCUUUAGCCUGAAGGACUUCCUUUAGCAUUUUUUGUAAGGCAGGUCUGCUAGCAAAGAAUCCUUCCCGUCUGUUUAUCUUGGGAUGUCCUUAUUUUGCCUUCAGGUUUGAAAGAUAAUUUUGAUGGAUAUAAAUUCUUGAUUGAUUGGUUUCUUCUUUCAACACUUUGAAUAUCCUACUGCCUUCCAGCUUCCAUUGUUUCUGAAGAUAAAUUAGCUGUAAUCUGAUUGUGGUUCUCUUAUACAUGAUGAGUCAUUUUACUGUUGUUCCCUUGAAGACUUUGUCUUUGAUGACAUAUGUUAUAGUCACAGUCUUUGCCUAUGGUGUGUCUAGGUGUGGAUUUCUUUGAGUUUAUUCUAUGCUAUGAUCUGAAGGUUUGUGUCACAAAAUUUAUAUGCUGAAAUUCAUAUGCUGAAAUCCUAACCCCAAUGGUAGUAGGAGGUGGGCCUUUUGUAGAUUAAGCUAUGAGGGCAGAGCCUUUGUGAAUGGGAUCAGUGUCCUUAUAAAAUAGGCCCAAGAGAGCUUCUUCACCCCUUCUGCCAUGUGAGGACACAGUGAGAAGGCACCAUCUGUGAACCAGAAAGCCAGCCCUCACAAGACACUGAAUCUGCUGGCACCUUGAUCUUAGACUUCCCAGUCUCUGGAACUGUAAGAAAUAAAUUUCUGUUGUAUCUAAGCCACCUAGUUGAUGGAAUUUUGUUAAAGCAGUCCAAACAGACUAAGACAUUCCACUUGGAGUUUGUUAAGCUUAUUGUAUUUACAUACUAAUAUUUUUAAGCAAAUUUGGGACAUUUUCAGCUAUUCUUUAAAAGAAAAAAAAAGGUUUUACCCCUUUCACUUGAUGUUGUCCCACAGGUCUCUGAGAAGUGCUGUUCAUUUUAUUCUGUUCUUUUUUCUUUCUGUUCUUUAGACUAAAUGGUUUCUAUUGCUUGUCUUCAAGUUUGCUGAGUCCUUCUUCCUCUAGCUCAAACCUGCUGUCGAGCACCUCUAGUAAAUUUUCAUUUCAGGGUUUUGCUGUGUUCUCCAGCCUUGUCUCAAACUCCUGGCCUCAGGUGAUCCUCCCACCUCAGCCUCCUGAGGAGCUAGGAUUACAGGCAUGUACCACCACACCCAGCUGCUUUAAUUAUUUAAACAUAGAUUCCUUUAGACCUUUGAACAUGUUUAUAGUAAAUUAUUUUAAGUCAUUGUCUACCAAGUCCAAUAUCUGAGCUUGCUCAGAGAUAGCUUGUAUGCACUGCUUCUUUUCUGUGUAUGACCACAUUUUUCUAUUUAUUUGUAUGUUUCACCAUGUUUUUGGAAACUAGAAGCUUUGGAUAAAUAUUAUAACAAAUCUGAGUUCUGAUUUGUCUCCCCUAGAGGCUAUUGCUGCAUUUAUUUGUGUGUUUAGUGACUUGCCUGGAUAAAUUAUUUAGAGCCGGUCUCCCCUCCAGUGUGCAAACAUGGAAAUCUUAUUUGUUUGUUUGCUUAAUUCCUGCCUUCAUUUUAAACCUUUUCUAUAGAUUAAGCAUAAUCUGGGUAAGCAUCCUUAAUAGGCAGCCAAUGAUUGGUCAGAGGUUUUGCUUAAACACCUUCAGCCAGUAAGAUUUCUGCCCUUUGGUGUGGUGAGGCACACACUCAGAGGGCAGGCAGUUUACAAGUGUGCCCACCUUCACUUGCUGUUUGUGCAGGGCCUCGUGGUCAGCCAGGAACAAACAGAUAACUGGGCCCUCUCCACUCUCUCCUGCACAUUCCUACACCUUGGGCAAGUGCACAGCAUUCCAGAUUCUUAGAAAUGUGUCAGGUUUAUCAAAGCCCCUAUGGUUGUCUUAUUUCCCAGCUCUUUCUUGUAAAUUUUUGGCUGGUUGCUGCUUUCCCAAGUCAGUGUCACAGACUUAGGUAGCUGUGACAUUGGCCUUCUUUGAUUGUCUGCUAUAGAGAUGGCCUCUGUUUUGACAGUGUUUCUGGACAUUGUGCUUUUCUAUGGAGCUCCAAAUUAGAUCAGCCCCCUCUAGCAGCAGCAAGACUUCUGGGUUUAUGGUUGCCACACCACAGAGUUCAGAGAGAGGUGGGUGGGAGCAGCCCUGUGUUGAAAUGGCACAGACCCCG